AUAAACUUUCCUUGACAUGACUUAUUAGUCCUGAGUCUAUUAAACAUUUCUUGAGCGAUGUGGAUGUUAUCCGAGAUUAACCGACCAGCGACAAAUGAAAAUUGGGUUUUCGAGAUGAGCGUUGGAAGGUAAUGUUUUAGCCUCUGACAUAAAACAUUCGAGAUAAUCUUGUAUCCUACAUUUCACAGGUUUAUUGGCCUCAAUUCUGUCAUCCUUGUAAGAUGUUCUGUUUUUGGUAUCAGACAUAUGUUUAUGAUAUUUAAGUGACCAAUCGUCAUGUGCUUCCAACUAGGCCUACUUCCAACUGUUGCUAGUGGAACGAAAAUAAAGGUACCCUUUUUUAUUUUAUCUUAUCAUUUAUCUCUUUCCAUUCCUCCCAUUCAUUUUGGUUCAAAAUCGUAGAAUGAAAGAUUAACCCACUCUCCUCACGAGAUCAGCGUUGGGAAGUUGACACGUGAAACGCCGUGGGGAGCUAAAGGGUGUGGUAGAUAUGCUCCUCUUAGACGCUAAGGCCUUCGUCCCUCCAAAGUCAUCUUCCCAGUUUGUGAUAAUCUACAGAAACUCAUUAGCAGUAUAACGGCUAAGUCAUCUGUUCUUCUUACUGAUUUGAAGGCUGGUCGCUGUUCUUCGACCGUCUACGGCUAGAAACUUCAAACGCGGUGGCGAGUUGAUGAGAGUGAACUUGCUCCUCCUUGAUACGAAGUCGACCCUCAUGCAAGCCACCAUGAAUUUUCACCGUCUCGCAACUUGCAGGGACAGUAAAUGUCAUUAUCUUUCAUUACUCCUCUUCACAUUCGACCCUCAAACAUGGAUCCAUCACCGUUCAAAGAAGGAUUUAUUUACGAGCUUGGUGUGUUAGAUGUAGCAAGAUCAACCAUCACUUCAAAAUUUCAGGCUCAGUCAUCGCCAUACCUUCACCGCGCUUUAUCAAGUUCAUCAAGAUGGCAGGUGUUAGUUUUCAGCACGUUUAUCAUUUUUCUAAUCUAAUUUUCAUCCCAUAAUAAUCUACCAAUGGUACACCCUUUUAAUUAAAGGUGAUUUAAUCUGGGGAUGGUCAACCACAAACUCUGCCAUAUUUGGUUCGUAGUUGAGAUGUGGAAACGAUAGUGAAGACACGAUCUAGACAUAUUUAAAUAGCUUAUCUUGGUUGUCAAUAUUUUGUUUUCUAAGAGAAAAGACCUCAGCUGGAUAUCCUGCAUUAGUGUAUCACCCUGUAACAUCACAACUAUAAUAUAAAUAAGAACCACAACACAAUUUUUUUUA